UACGAAGGGGGCUAGCGUUGUUCGGAAUUACUGGGCGUAAAGCGCGCGCAGGCGGCUAUCCAAGUCAGUGGUGAAAGCCCGGAGCUCAACUCCGGAACUGCCAUUGAAACUGUUUAGCUUGAGGAUGAGAGAGGUGAGUGGAAUUCCCAGUGUAGAGGUGAAAUUCGUAGAUAUUGGGAAGAACACCGGUGGCGAAGGCGGCUCACUGGCUCAUUACUGACGCUCAGGCGCGAUGAGCGUGGGGAGUCAAACAGG
rnacentral:rRNA from 1 species